UUGCUUUGUUCGUGAUGUAUGCCACGAUGAGAAGGAUCUGUCAACAAGUUCAUUCGGUUCAUACAGAAGGACUAUCAGAAACUGUCAGAUGGAUUCUUUUCUCUACUUCAGAGCUGACAGAGUAUCCACAAUUAGCAAGAACUUAUUGUCAGGAUUUUUGAAUGAAGAUGAUGUACAACUGUUGAGAUAAUAAGAAUGUAUGCCCUCCUUUCAUGCUGAACUCGGGCAUUAAUUAUUUGUUCAUGUCCUAUCGUUCUUGGUUUGCAA